rnacentral:lncRNA from 1 species
CCAAUUUUGAAGGCUUCUCACACCAGGAGCUACUGUAUUUCUCGCGGCACGAUCCAAUUCAAAUCGCAGCGCAAUUUACUACAGCAGGACAGAUAUGACACGUGCUGAUGCAAUCAGUUUUUUUAUUUUAUCCCUUGAAUGAUGAUGUGGCGACAUGGUACAGGGCUAUUCCUUUUAUUGGUGUCACGUGAUUGCUCCUUCUAAGCAUAUAAAUAAUAAGCUAUUUUAACCUA